rnacentral:lncRNA from 1 species
UAGGCUUAUAGGCCUCUGUUAAAGAUUUUAUUCUUAGCCUCUUAGCCUUUUUGUUUUUUUGAAAAUACGAGUAUUGUUCCAUUUAUAGUAUUAUUCAGAUACUUGGUUUUUAGAUUCUAUACCAGUAAAUGUUUCUAAUCAUUGAAGAUGUAAGAAUUUAAUACUCUAUUUGGGUCUCUGAGAUUAGGGAGCAUCUGCCAGGAUAUUUUGUUUUAUCAGGGUUACUUCUUUUGACUACCUCUUAGAUUUUGGUGUUCUUUACUGGUGGUGCAAUUAUGUUGUGGGGUUGCAUUUUCCUAUAUUUUUAUAGUCUGUGCUUGCCUGUGACUUUUAGUGAAAUGAAACUAUUUUAGCAUGCUAAUUAAAUUUUCCAAGUAUUAUAGCAUUUUGGUACAUUUUGGUCAAUGUAAGACAUCUGCUCCUUUAGUGUUUACUACUUGCUGUAAUUGAGAUUUCAGAAGCUCUUCAAGCUCCCUUUUAAUGAAAUCAGUUCUAAAACAUCAAUUUCAAUAAAUUAGAAUUUUCACAGUCCAAUUGCUUAUAAUUUUCCAGUUAUUAUAUUUGAAAUUUCUAAAUAAUUCAUGCAAUUUCUAAAUAAGGAUGUGAGGCUAGAUUCUUUUUUCCUAAAUAGAGAGAAAGCAAAUUUUGUGAUUUAUCACUUUUCUAGUUGAUAGAAUUUAACAUGCUCAAUAUGUAUUUAUACUUAUAAAUUACUAACAUAAUUUAAAGUUCUAUAUUAUUGUGAUUAUUAUAUGGAAAUUCAGGAACUGAUCAGAAGUGAGAGUCUUUUCCACAUCUGGUUAAUAUAGUGAGAUUGACACCCUGUGGGUGGUAAAGAUAAAGGAAUUAUUAAUCUUAGAGAAAAUGCUGAAAAUUAAAGAUCAUUCCCAAAGUGGUUUUACUUUAUAAUCACUGGGACAUUCCAUUCCUUAUCAAAUACAUAAAUGCUGAAUUUCUCUUCCCUUUAUCUUUUUAAAAUAAAAGUGUGUAUACAUAUGACAGUGAUGUUUAUCCUCUGCUUAACUUAAUGUAACGCAAAAUAUUUCAAGUUCAUUGUAUUUUUUCAAUGAAGAAGACUGUUGAACUAAUGAUUUAAGAUACAUUAAGAAUUAAUGUCUUGUCUAGAAACAUUAAACUGAGAAUCCCUUGCUAAGAUGCCCUCAUCUUUAAUAACUGGAGUGCUAAGUUGAAUGUCAAAUAAUACUUCUACUUCUAUACCUGUUUCUACACCUCUGGCCCUAUGGGAUGGCUUUUAGGCCACAAUAUUAUCUGUGUUAGGUUCUCUGUAUGUGUAUUUAAUGAAUAACAUUCCUAUGUAAAAAUGUGUGUAUGUGGUUUUAUGCAUACAUUCAUAUUGUGAAUCUGUACAUUGCAAAGAAGUAAAUUUGUAAAGCACAACCAUAAAAGAAAAUAGUGUGCAGUUAUUGAACUUGAUGUAUCUUAAAUGUAAUUUUUAGUUUAUAAAAGGUUCUUUCUAUUUUCUAUGGCAAAGACUUUGACACUUAAAAAAUAGAAGUGAUACUGGAUUUAUUUUUGUAAGUAUUUAGGAUAUUAUUUUAAAUAAAUGAUUGUCCAAUAUGAUGGUUGUCAGAUGUUUUAAGUAAAUAAACUUUCUGAUUUUGUGUCUGAUAUGUAUUUUUAGUGGGUACAAGUGCACAUUUAUUUGCUGCUUUAAAUAAAAAACUUAAAUAUUUAGACUGGUAAA